GGUGUAUGCUGGGGUGUAUGCUGGGCGAAGAACAUUCAGAAAUCUCUUCCGAUGCACAUUACCUGUGAGCAUCAGAGGUGAACUAAUUGCAUACACAUUGCAUACACAGCCCGAGCAAGACAUUAUUCUGCUUUUCUCUGACUAGAUUCCUCCAUUGAGUCAAAAUAAAUUCUGCUUCCAGGAGGACCAAGAGCUGUUGCUAUUGAUAAGGUGUCUGAUUAAUAAUUUUCACCCUGAAUAAAAGUAGAGGGACCUUUUGUCAGAGGUUGCUUGUUAUGAUUCUGUAUCUUUGUUGAAUUCUUGACAUGAUUUGGUACAGUACUUGCAAAUGUACACCUCUUUGAAAUGUCUCCACACAUCAGAUAGUGCCCGUGGCAUGUUCCUGUAAAGAUUAGAAAGAAAUAAGUUUAAAAAAGAAACUAAUACAAUUCCAUGUACAGAUAAAUAGUUAAGUAGUUAGAUUAAACAACUCCUUUGUAAGAUAAAUGUUUUACAAUGAAAUAUGUAUUGAAACAGGUGAAUUAUCACUCUUCAGUUAGCAGACUCAAGCAAGCUAAAACACACAUGGUAGAAAAAACAAACUAUCAGAAAUUGAUAACAAGUUAGAAAUUAUUUAAACACACUUUGCUGUAGACUACUAUUUACUAGUAAACAAAAAAUCAUGAUUGUCAUAUUCACCCCACCCAGUAUUGUAAUCAAAACUUACCAGAAAGCAUGUAGUCCUUGGCUCAAACAGUGUAGUAGUGUGUGCUCAAUAGCAUCUCAUUAGUGUGCAAGAUCUUGAGAAUCAGCUGUACAUGUGAUAGAAGAGUGCACUGCACAUGUGAUGGUAGAAUGCGCUGUGCAUUGAGGGUUGCAAUACCAUUUGAAUUGGGGAUAGUUUAACCAAAAUAUACCUCAAGACCUAGAAUUGCCUUGUGUAUCAUCCCACAAUUUUCUUUUCACUGUUAUAAGCUAACUUUUUGAUGAAUUUUAAGCCUGUGAAUUCUGUGAAGUUUGCUUAACUUCCCAUGGAACAUUUCUGGAAGGUUUCUGACCCUUUGCAUCCCUACAUAUACAAUACAUUGUAGUAGUGCAAGAAAAGAUGUUGACAGAGCUGAACUAUCUCUCCAAGGUCACCAGAGCUGAUGUUGAAGUCCAGCCCUAUGCCUUCACCACCAAGUCCUUGUUCGUCAGCCACAUGGAUUACAAAUACCUUUGUUGGCAGUUUACUUUGUCAUCCUCUUUCAAGAUGGGACUUGCUUAUCAAGGUUUCCUGCUUUGUUCCAUCAGAAAAUCAUUGCUGACCUUACUGUAGAGGGCAUCCCUGUCGUUGAAACCAGCACUUUGACUGAAUAGGGCGUGAUAAUUGUAAAAACAGAGGCCUGUGACAAACUUCUGGCCGAUCGUGUCCAUGGCAAAAUGAAGGGCAAGAAGGUCCAUGAUGUUCUCAACAGAUUGCAUUUAGUAGUACGUGCUAAGACGGAUGAAAAGGUGAGACCACCAUUCAUUCCAGAGGGAACUAGGAUUGGCAGGAAAACAGUAGAGGUGGAUGCACCCAAACGCAAAACAGAGAUGGAGAUGAUUAUAUCCUGGACCUACAGAGUAUGUAUUUGGACAUUGACAUUCAUCAUUGUCUGAUGAAUAAAGAGGAGAAAUAUGAUGUGAUUCCCAAAAUAUGGGAGGGUCACAACUUUUCAGAUUAUAUCGACCCUAAAAUCAUGAAGAUGGCGAAGAAGGCCAAGAAGUUGAUGAAGAGCCAACAAAAGGACAUGAACUGCCAGGGGAAGAAGGGAGAGGCAGACAGACAUGUAUUUGACCUCAUGCCAAAACCUAUUUUUCUCUGGCAAGAGAAUGUCCGGAACAAACGAUCACAGAUAAAGGCAUUGAUCGAUGAGGUUGACCUUUUUUUCAGUGUAAUCCAGCUUCUGUCAGAAUUGUAUACUUUUUCACUGGAGUAAAUCUGAAAAUAAAUGUUUGCCCUUUUCUGAAUUAUCUUUCAUCAUAUUGAGGUAAUGAGUGACACAAGUGACAUUCCUGGUUUUGGAAAGCUGCGUAGUGGAGCACAAACCUCAAUUCACCACAAGGUAUCAGCCAAAAAUGUUAGUGGUAGUUUGACUUCUGUGUCACUUACAUGAACACCCACUGUCAAAGCUUCCAAUUGCUGUGGCUACCAAUUGUGAUAAAUAAUCUUAAAGCGCAUUCAAGUGAAGUGUACUUGAAUUGUAAACUGUAAAUGGAACGUAUUGCCUUAACUCCUAGAAUGUAUCAAUUGCAUUGCUUUGGUGUAGCUAGAAACAAAGAAGAUGAAGCUGCACACACCGUAACAGUUAAGUCCUCUCAACAAAUGUGAGUUUCUUCUACUGUGUACACUGCAGUGGGGGAAGUGAUUAAAUGUAUAAACCAAAAUGUGUCUCGCAGGUGCUUUAUUAAAAAUAAAUGUGAAUAAUUUACUAUCUUAUGCUGCCU